CCUACGGGAGGCAGCAGUGAGGAAUAUUGGUCAAUGGACGAGAGCCUGAACCAGCCAAGUAGCGUGAAGGAUGACAGCCCUAUGGGUUGUAAACUUCUUUUAUAUGGGAAUAAAAUGUUCCACGUGUGGGAUUUUGUAUGUACCAUAUGAAUAAGGAUCGGCUAACUCCGUGCCAGCAGCCGCGGUAAUACGGAGGAUCCGAGCGUUAUCCGGAUUUAUUGGGUUUAAAGGGAGCGUAGGUGGAUUGUUAAGUCAGUUGUGAAAGUUUGCGGCUCAACCGUAAAAUUGCAGUUGAAACUGGCAGUCUUGAGUACAGUAGAGGUGGUCGGAAUUCGUGGUGUAGCGGUGAAAUGCUUAGAUAUCACGAAGAACUCCGAUUGCGAAGGCAGCUCACUGGACUGCAACUGACGCUGAGGCUCGAAAGUGUGGGUAUCAAACAGGAUUAGAUACCCGUGUAGUC
rnacentral:rRNA from 1 species